rnacentral:lncRNA from 1 species
CAAUAAAAUCCCUUCCUUUUGCCAUAAUGGGCUUAAUGCACUUGAGGAAUAAAUGUGGACUCCGUGCAUCCUUUGUGCCUCUCUCAGCCUUUGCGAUGCACGUCCUUUCUGAUCUUUUGUACACUCAGUUCUUUUUUUUCCCAUUUAAAAACCCUCACCCAAACACCCAUCAAAUGUGACUGCAUCAAACAUAAAUACAUCCUCCCUCAGAGUCUGCGAAGCUGUGUGCAGCGGCUCUGCCAAGAAAAUGCCCAGCCCAGGGCAUAGCCUUUUAAACCUUAUUUGAAAACACAGAGGAAAAUCACUCCCGGACUCCGCUGAUUUCAUAAAUAAAUAAAAGAAAAAACAAAUACACAAAACAAAAAUCGGCUCGACCGGCCUAAGCUUUUGUUCUCGGUCUCCAGGCAAACACAUCCGGAAGGAUCACCUCUUCUCAGCUCCCUCCGACGUUUUAAAUUGAAAACUGAAUAGCUCUCCAGUCAGGCCCUGCCCGCCAUCCUCCGGGGCCCUGCUAAGUCUGGAGGCUGUGGGGCAGCACCUGUUUACAGCACUUUGUGGUAGAUCGCAAAAUGGCUCUUCUCUUCCCUCCACAACACCCCUCCCACCAGAACCUGGGUCUGUUUCUCCAUCCCACGCACUUGGGCUGACCCUGUGCUUUGCUGUGGCGAAUAGACCGCAGUAGGAUUGUCCGCGUCCCAGUCCUGUGUGCAGGCCUCGAGAGGUCUUGCAGCUUCCUCCCCCUCCAGGAAGAGCUUCCACCCUGUGAACACGCCCAGGCUCACCCGCUGGGGGCUGUCGACGGGGCCCAGCCGCCUCGCACCCAGCCGCCAGCCGGCCAACGUGCAGGAGCCGUGCCAGCUGAUGACGACCGACCACAGAUGUGUGACGGAGCCCCUCUGAGACAAGCUGGCCCACCCAGCUGAGCCCUGCUCAGAUGGCCGAUCCACAGACCAUAAUCUAAAUCAAUAGCUAUUAUGUAAGCCACCAAGUUUGGGCUGGUUUGUUACGCAGCAAAAAUGGAUCCUUAGGACUCUCUGUGUUUUCCUGGUUUAUCCCAGCGCAGUGAGUGAGGGCGCUGUACUGGUUAGAAUAUUGACAUGCUCCUGCAAUGGUUGGUCAUAGACACUCUGGGCCUCCUGAGGCCCCUCUCCUCUGUCCCCGCUCCCCCUGGGACCUCCUGGAGGGGUAGUAACCAGCGGAUCAGGGCCUGCAGCCCCGUCUUGGCACGAUGUCUCCUUUAUUUGAUUGGUCGAUGCCCUUGCCAUAUGGUUAAGUAUUUUCAUUGUCACCCCUGCCAGCAGUGAGUGUUGGGCUGGGAUGCUGUCUGCGUGGCGGCCGGCAGUGUCCACGCUGGGGCCGGGCCUCAGCUCUGCUCCCUCCCAAGCCUCCCUCUCUUCCCCGUCUGGGGACACUCUCACCCACAAACCAAGGGGCUCACGGGCUGAGCACUUUGCAGGGGCCUGGGAAGGAAACGCCUGUGUCUGUUUGGGCCCAUGCAGCUGGGCUGUGGGUGGGGUCUCCACUCCUCUUGCCCCCUGGCCAGUCCUGGUUCACGCCUGUCUCCAGGUGUGAUUCUUAGUAGACCCCCAUGUUCUCUAAAGUGCCCCACUUGGGAGACAAAGGAUUCAGUCACCAAAGCUCUAGAGAAAGCCCCCAAAUCCAGCGGGGCCCGAGGAGGGCGGAGGGCAGGGCUUCCUCGGAGCUCUCUCGUGUUGGGCCUGAGGUUGGAGGCCUGAGCUGAACUGUGCCGUGGGAGUGCACACGCGAGCCCUCGUCUGCUCACCUGUGAAAUGCAGACGGCGCUUCCACACCUCGUGGAUCCAGUGCUGGGCUCGUGGAGUAGCCACUGGACUGCUGCCCACUGACUGAAUGUGCAGCAGGGAGCCUGACCUUGAACAGGGGUCAGGCCUCGAUGCCUCAGUUGGUGGAUGGACAGUGCAACAAGGCGGCCGACUCGUUGGUGGUGAAUUAGCAGUGAAAUGCAUUUUAAUCGCUCGACUGUCCUUCACUCAGCUUUGACUACCGUCCCGGCGCCAGGACGCUGGUUUUGCCUGACUCGCCGUGGAGCGCCGUGCAGGAUGUGCUCGGCUCUGACUCUGCUCUGCGGCCUUUGCAGAAGCCGCAUCUUCUCUGUUCUCGAGGACGCUCCACAACGCACUGCUCCAGGCCAUCAGUCACCACGGCCUCUUGUCAACCAAGCGUGGCUUCGCCUUUCUCUUCCCUUUCUUCUCCAGAACAUUCCUCCCGCUGACAGCCACUCCUUUCCAUUGUGAAGGGGCUUUGUGCUCCUGCCAUUUGACUCUCACUAAUGGCUUCACCUCUGGUUCAAAAACCUUCAGUAAUAUUUAUUUCCUUGCUGUGAUUCGGACACACAGGAGCAACUCUGGUACUUUUUUUCUAAGCCGUGCGUGUGUGUGUGCGCACGUGCAUGUGUGUGUGAUGAAAAUGAACUUGGCAUCAACACACUGUUCCAGCUGUUUCUACACUAGCUGACCACUAGCUCACGGCUUUUUUAUUGUGAGCCUGGCUUACAAGGGGGAUUUGACUUUUAGGGUACUAUUUUAAUUUCUGUAAGAGAAAAGAUGUUUUCAUUUUGGGGUGCUGCCUCCUCCCCUGCUUGAUGGAACAUACAAGUACUCCCUCCGUGAAGACAUCAUAACGCUGCGUGCUCCCCCCUCUGAGCCCUCUCCUCGGCCGGGUGGCCCCAUGAGCUCCCUAACCUCUCUCUGGGCCUUCAGCUCUCGGCAUCUCCCAUCUCCCUUCCCACGACCAUGCUUUCUCAUAUCUGACCUUUAUUUCCCUUUGUCUCUCUCCUUGCAAAUCCUUACCUCUUCUGUUUCCCUGAUUUUUGUAUCUUAUCUAGAACUUUUCUAUCUUUAUAUUUUUCUUAGUAAAAAUAUAGCUGUUCUAUGUACCAGCUGAUCAUUUUCAGAUUGGACUUGUAUUCAGAUAUAAGGAGAUUCUGAACUCAGAUGUCACCUGCCUGGCCAGGUGUAUCCAAGAUGUGGUCACAGCAGCAUGCCCACCGAGUUCCGCAUUUCUGGAGGACGGUGAAGUUAGUUCUGCUGAUGGUCCAGACCACACACUGCUUCUUCAUGCGGCAGGCUCAAGGGUGAGUAGAUGCUGCACUCGUGUUCUCUGGUUGAACUAAGGGAAAGAGUAGAUAAGGUGCUGAGUAACCUUCCUGGGACUCCACCCAUGGUUCCGGGAAACGUGGCGUGCUGUCAGGGACCACAGCAGAUCCCUUCACUGUUGAGGACACCUGGCUUGUGGAUGUGCAAAGGCCACAGAGCCAGACUCAGGGCCGGUUACGUCGGGGCCCAAUGCCUCUGCCCCUACCCACCAUCGCGACUGGCCAGCAGGGCCUGUGUUCACAGUUGAAGCAGACGACGCUGUGCUGCAGCAGGAACAGACGCCACAAUCAGAGGUGCUGGCCUGUGUCUCUUUCCCUUGAAGCUGGCGGAUGUCUCUGGACAGCUUACUGACCUCGGCUUGCCCGGACUGCUCCCCUCCCCUGGGCCAUCACGACCUCCUCUCCUCCGUCUUAAUUAAAUGCCCUUUCCUCCUGGUUUGGCAGCUCCUCCCUCAGCCUGGCUGUCUACACAGCAGGGCCCACGGGGCACUCUGUGUGGCCCCCUCCUCCCCGGCCUCCGCCCUCAGCCAAGCUCUCAACAACGCCCAGCGCGGGGCGGGCACAGACUGUGCAGGCCCUAAACCCUGGAAAGAUUAUGGGGCACACACCGGGAGGACGGCGGAGAGGUGAUCGCGGGCACACACGGCACAAUCGGGGGCGAUGCGCGGAGGCCCCGAGGCUGUGGUUUGCGCGGCUCAGAGGCGGCGCGCACUGACCCAGGCGGCGGGAGCGCGUGCUGCCGGGCGGCCCGGUCCGCGGCCCGGGGUCCGCACACUCACCGGACGGAGGCUGAACUCACCACCGACCCGUCCGCCCGGAGUGUGGGUCCCGCGAGGCCCGGGCGUCUGAGCGACGCGAACCGGGCGGCGCUGCGCCAUUCACACUGGGAGGUGCGGGCGCCGCGCGCGCUGCGGGUCCUCCGCGCCCGGUGGCUGGUCCCCAGGCAGCGGAGAAGGCCAUGGUGGACACCAAAGAGGAGGGGAGAGCGAAGGAAUUCUUCGCGGUUAGUUUGGCUGUGGGGCCGGUGGACUGGGGAAGCGGAGCUGACUCCCCGAGGAAUUUCCAGACCAGCCUGAACUCCAGCAGGUUGUGGGGUGGCUCUGUGUGGAACCCCACGGCAGCCACUUCUCAGCUGCAUAGCUAACCCUCUAUACCUAGACCCUUACCUGUGAACGGUGGCACCUACCCCGCAGGGUGGCGUGAGGAGUAAUGAGCACUCCUGGUCCUCGGGCGUCAGACCCAGACCGGCAUCGGCACCAGUGGCUCUCGGCUCUCCACUGCCUUCCUGGGUCUCCAGCCUGCAGAGGGCAGAUGGUGGGACUUCUCAGGCUCCAUGAUUGUGCUGUGCCAGGUGCACCCACCUUUGUUCUUCGUUGGAAGGCCACGCCUGUUCGCAAGUACCGUCUGAGGACACGUGGAGCCCGUAACGCCCAUCAUUGGAGCAACAAUGCUGGACCGAGUUCUGAAGAUUCUCGUCAAAAUCCAGAGGGAUUGUAAAUUGAAACUUCCUAAAUGAGGUAAUUUAUACUCUGGGUUGAGACCAGCUCAUUUUCUUACUGGUAUGUGUGUGGAAAUAGAGGCUAAAGUGGCUCAUAUCCAUUUGGAUCCUAAUUUUCGGACGUGUAUUUGUGGUAAGAGCUUGUGAGCCAACUGCCUGAGGCCAGAUUCCCUGUCUUUUGAUAACUGGAGGAGGAGGGAAGAAAGAAGACCAGGGAAGGGGAAAGUACGCAAUAAAUCAGAGACUUGAAGCGUCUAGAUCACAAUUUUGAAACAUAAAGUGGAAUAGGAUGAAAGCUGGACAAUAAAUAAAAAACUGAAGCCGGUUUUAUCCUGGUGCAACGUUUGGAGUUUCUUCUUGAGCAGUGGGUGAGCAGCAAGUUUAACGACAGUUUCACCUGCUUCUUAAGUGUCCAGUGACUGUUGAAUGUCUCCUUCGAAACCAUCAGGCUGACAGAAACGAUCUUCCCGAGGUGGCUGAGGGAGAGGGGACAUCUGUCACGUCGGGUCCCAGCCGUGGCAUUCGUGCACGCCCCUGCUUGUCGGUGGGGGUGCUGGAGCUGCUCAGCGGGUGGACGCACAGAGGCUUGUACUGCUUGUGGUCUUAUGGCCACUCCAUUUCCUCAGCCUCCUUCCUUACAAUCUACUGCACAGGUUUCAUUUUCAGGGGACUCGGCUUGGCUUGAAGGGACGAGACAUAAGAAAAAGAACUGGUAGGACAUUCUGAACCUCUCGAAGAUCCAAUUUGACUUUCUGGAACCAAAAUUAAAUGGUUAUUGACUUCAAAUUGUUGGAGAACUGCUUUCAGGUUUUCCUUGUUGAUUUGCUGCUGCCACACAAUAUUUGGUUAAUUGCGGAUGGUCUCAAGCUGUGCUCAUCGCUGCCGCGGCCGCCGGAGCCCCAGCCCGCUGCCACAGGACGGUUGGCACGCUCAGGAGCAGGCUCUCAGCGCCACGAGGACAGGAGCGUCCCAGAGUCCCGGACGGAUGGGCAGCUGGACGCCAGGCAAGGGAGGACAGGGUCCCACAUGAAACACCUGGCGCCUUCACAAGGGAGUCAGCAUCGUGGCACAAGAAACAACCUGAGCUGGAACCCCAGUGACAAGAAUAAAGCCAGCACAGUUUCAUUGUCUUUUUUUUUUUUUUUACAGUCAGAUACUGCCUUACGGUUUCUCUGUACUUUGAAAUUGCCACUAAAAUUUUUGUUGCCAUAUAAAAUCUUCC